GACGAACGCUGGCGGCGUGCCUAAUACAUGCAAGUAGAACGCUGAAGGAGGAGCUUGCUUCUCUGGAUGAGUUGCGAACGGGUGAGUAACGCGUAGGUAACCUGCCUGGUAGCGGGGGAUAACUAUUGGAAACGAUAGCUAAUACCGCAUAACAGUAGAUGUUGCAUGACAUUUGCUUAAAAGGUGCAAUUGCAUCACUACCAGAUGGACCUGCGUUGUAUUAGCUAGUUGGUGGGGUAACGGCUCACCAAGGCGACGAUACAUAGCCGACCUGAGAGGGUGAUCGGCCACACUGGGACUGAGACACGGCCCAGACUCCUGCGGGAGGCAGCAGUAGGGAAUCUUCGGCAAUGGACGGAAGUCUGACCGAGCAACGCCGCGUGAGUGAAGAAGGUUUUCGGAUCGUAAAGCUCUGUUGUAAGAGAAGAACGAGUGUGAGAGUGGAAAGUUCACACUGUGACGGUAUCUUACCAGAAAGGGACGGCUAACUACGUGCCAGCAGCCGCGGUAAUACGUAGGUCCCGAGCGUUGUCCGGAUUUAUUGGGCGUAAAGCGAGCGCAGGCGGUUAGAUAAGUCUGAAGUUAAAGGCUGUGGCUUAACCAUAGUACGCUUUGGAAACUGUUUAACUUGAGUGCAAGAGGGGAGAGUGGAAUUCCAUGUGUAGCGGUGAAAUGCGUAGAUAUAUGGAGGAACACCGGUGGCGAAAGCGGGCUCUCUGGCUUGUAACUGACGCUGAGGCUCGGAAGCGUGGGGAGCAAACAGG
rnacentral:rRNA from 1 species